AGUCCUGUAGUUGAUACGUGAGAUUGCAAAUCUCAAGAAGCGAGUUAAGUCUCGCCGGGGCUU
rnacentral:tRNA from 1 species